AUUAUCAGCUCUAGCUAAACUUACACAUGCAAGUAUCCGCACCCCUGUGAAAAUGCCCUACAGUUCCCUUCUUGGGGACAAGGAGCCGGUAUCAGGCACAAACAACGUUUAGCCCACGACGCCUUGCUUAGCCACACCCCCAAGGGAACUCAGCAGUGAUAAACAUUAAGCCAUAAGUGAAAGCUUGACUUAGUUAAAGCUACUUUUAGGGCCGGUAAAACUCGUGCCAGCCACCGCGGUUAUACGAGAGGCCCAAGUUGAUAAGGCCCGGCGUAAAGAGUGGUUAUGGACAAACACUAAAACUAAGGCCAAACACCCCCAAUGCUGUUAUACGUACCCGGGGGUAGGAAGCGCAACCACGAAAGUGGCCUUACAUUUCCUGAGCCCACGAAAGCUAUGACACAAACUGGGAUUAGAUACCCCACUAUGCUUAGCCCUAAACAUUGAUAAUGCCCUACAAUCGUUAUCCGCCUGGGAACUACGAGCACUAGCUUAAAACCCAAAGGACUUGGCGGUGCUUUAGAUCCCCCUAGAGGAGCCUGUUCUAGAACCGAUAAUCCCCGUUAAACCUCACCUCUCCUUGUUUUUUCCGCCUAUAUACCGCCGUCGUCAGCUUACCCUGUGAAGGACCAACAGUAAGCAAAAUUGGCACAGCCCAAAACGCCAGGUCGAGGUGUAGCGUAUGGAGAGGGAAGAAAUGGGCUACAUUCAGUGUCUCACUGUAUUACGGAAGGUAAGCUGAAAUGCCUACCCAAAGGAGGAUUUAGCAGUAAGGAAAAAAUAGAGUGUUCUCCUGAAACUGGCCCUGAAGCGCGUACACACCGCCCGUCACUCUCCCCGAACCCAUAGUAUUACUUUUACCUAAAAUGCACUAAUAAGCCCGAAGGGGAGGC
rnacentral:ncRNA from 1 species